GGCAAAAUCAAUCAAUAUUGGGGUAGGGGUUAGAGGUAGAUUUGGGAUUGGGUGUUUGUACACAUGAACUUCCUCUAAAAAUGGCUCUUUUGUGGCUCCUCCCUUUCAGGUGCUGUGUACGUGUAAAGAGUACAAUCGCUACAGUAGCUACAUCAAGUCAGUUCAGUUGCUGUGGGAGAAGCAGUGCUGUGCCCAGCAGAAAAUGCUUUUGAAGCAGUUCCUAGUCUUGCAGCAGCAAGGGGAGGUUCCGUCCCACAUCUCACUGACGGAUAUUAGAGAUUGGCUCAUUGCCAAGGGUAGAAACUACUUCAAGAACACGUUUCAGAGUGAAAUGGAAGAGGGGAAGAACCUUCACUUGGCCGAACUGGCUUGGGAUGUGAAACGACGCCUCAGGCUUAAGGAGCUGGAAAGAGAAGUGUGCAGGGAGCUGCGCCUGGAGCGCCGAAUCCGCUGGUCGGUGAUUGGACAGGUAAGGAUGGAACAGCGGCACUCCUAGGGCUGAUAUCAACUCACAGUUGCUUAAGCAGCAGUAGGACCUCAGUGUUUCUGUUGGUAUCUUCAUCCAUUUGCCUCUCUUUCUC